ACGGCCAUACAACAUUGAAAACACCGGUUCUCGUUCGAUCACCGAAGUUAAGCAAUGUCGGGUCCGGUCAGUACUUGGGAGGGUGACCACCUGGGAACACCGGGUUUGUAGGCU